UGACCACUAUGAAGACUGGUGUGGGAA
rnacentral:piRNA from 1 species